rnacentral:rRNA from 1 species
CCUACGGGUGGCAGCAGUGAGGAAUAUUGGUCAAUGGACGAGAGUCUGAACCAGCCAAGUAGCGUGAAGGAUGACUGCCCUAUGGGUUGUAAACUUCUUUUGUGCGGGAGCAAUAAUGGUCACGUGUAGCAUGAUGCCUGUACCUUAUGAAUAAGCAUCGGCUAACUCCGUGCCAGCAGCCGCGGUAAUACGGAGGAUGCGAGCGUUAUCCGGAUUUAUUGGGUUUAAAGGGUGCGUAGGCGGUUUUUUAAGUUAGUGGUUAAACGUCGGGGCUUCACCUUGAUUUGCCAUUAAUACUGUAAGACUCGAGUUCAGACGAGGUAGGCGGAAUAAGUUAAGUAGCGGUGAAAUGCUUAGAUAUAACUUAGAACUCCGAUAGCGAAGGCAGCUUACCAGACUGCGACUGACGCUGAAGCACGAGAGCGUGGGUAGCGAACAGGAUUAGAUACCCGAGUAGUC